rnacentral:rRNA from 1 species
GAUGAACGCUGACAGAAUGCUUAACACAUGCAGGUCGACUUGAACUUCGGUUUGGGUGGCGGACUGGUGAGUGACGCGUACGGAACUUUCCUCACAGAUAGGGACAACAUUUGGAAACGGAUGCUAAUACCUGAUAUUAUGAUUAUAUGGCAUCGUAUAAUUAUGAAAGCUAUAGGCGCUGUGAGAGAGCUUUGCGUCCCAUUAGCUAGUUGGAGAGGUAACGUAUCACGAAGGCGAUGAUGGGCAGCCGGCCUGGGAGGGUGAUCGGCCACAAGGGGCCUCAGGAGCGACCAUUAGUCAUUCGGGAGGAAGGGGUGGAGAACUGAGGAAGAUAGACCAAGAGUGUGAUGAAGGACUUCUGUGUGUAAAAUGAUGUUUUUCGGAAAGAAAAGUGGUUUCAGUAGGGAAGAAAAAAAUGACGGUACCAAAAGAAGAAGCGACGGCUAACUACGUG